GCGAAUUCGCCUUUGCAGCAGCCGCGGUAUACGUAGUGGCAGCGUGUCGAUAUGGCGUAAAGCGCGGCAGCCGUCUUUUAGUCUGAUUGAAGCCCCGCUCACGGGGAGGGUCAUGAAACUGGAGACUGAGUACAGAGAGGAGAGUGGAUUCACGUGUAGCGGUGAAAUGCGUAGAUAUGUGGAGGAACACCAGUGGCGAAGGCGACUCUCUGGUCUGUAACUGACGCUGAGGCGCGAAAGCGUGGGGAGCAAACAGGAUUAGAUACCCUGGUAGUCCACGCCGUAAACGAUGAGUGCUAGGUGUUAGGGGUUUCGAUGCCCUUAGUGCCGAAGUUAACACAUUAAGCACUCCGCCUGGGGAGUACGACCGCAAGGUUGAAACUCAAAGGAAUUGACGGGGGCCCGCACAAGCAGUGGAGCAUGUGGUUUAAUUCGAAGCAACGCGAAGAACCUUACCAGGUCUUGACAUCCUUUGACCACCCUAGAGAUAGGGCUUUCCCCUUCGGGGGACAAAGUGACAGGUGGUGCAUGGUUGUCGUCAGCUCGUGUCGUGAGAUGUUGGGUUAAGUCCCGCAACGAGCGCAACCCUUGAUCUUAGUUGCCAGCAUUCAGUUGGGCACUCUAAGGUGACUGCCGGUGAUAAACCGGAGGAAGGUGGGGAUGACGUCAAAUCAUCAUGCCCCUUAUGACCUGGGCUACACACGUGCUACAAUGGAUGGUACAAAGGGCUGCGAAACCGCGAGGUUGAGCGAAUCCCAUAAAGCCAUUCUCAGUUCGGAUUGUAGGCUGCAACUCGCCUACAUGAAGCCGGAAUUGCUAGUAAUCGCGGAUCAGCAUGCCGCGGUGAAUACGUUCCCGGGCCUUGUACUCACCGCCCGUC
rnacentral:rRNA from 1 species